CGUGCCAAAAGGGGGCAGUUGUGUCACAUGUGGCUGCUGUGUCACAUGAGUGUCAAUAGGUGGCAGAGAAGAGAGACAUUACAUCUACACUCAGUGUUCUGACCUGUGAGCAUCUGAAUGAUUAAGUAGUUUAACACU